CGGCUGCCGCGGGCAGAAACUCGCCGGCCAGUUCCUUCCUGAGGACCUUCCUUUUCAUUCAUUCUUUUACGUUUUCCAAUCCUCGCUGAACGAUUUACAGAGCUGCUGUUUUCUUCCUAAUUUAAUUUGAAAUUUGAAUUAUUCUUGGGCUCACAUUCAUUAAUAUAGUUAGCAAGUAUAAACGUUGGUGUGUUCUGUACAUUUUCAAGCUUUCUAAGGUGGAAAUGCAACUGGAGCUCAGGACACUCUGCUGCUGCUGCUUUGUGCAUGCUUAAGUUUGCACUCGAGUGACUUGUUCUGUGAGCCUUGCUUCUGGUCUCCAGGAGCUAGCCAGUUAUUUUGUGGUUUUCCUGUUUUCAUUUUCCCUAUUUAAAGCCAAACUUGCUGGAUCUGAGUCUUAAUAGUUCAGUCAAGUUGGUACCUAAGGGCGAAGCAAUUCUGGAAAGUAUUAGAGCAACCAACUACUCACAGACAAAGCACUGGAAAAUGACACUUAGACCACAUGUAAACUGAUAAAGAGGUUUAACACAGGUUGAGGAUUUUUUUGUUUUUUCUUUCUCUAAAAGGAAAGAAUCGGUCCACUGGGGAAGGUUUGUAAAGGGGAGUAGCUUAGGACUUGAGUUUUUUUCUUCUUUUAGGUAGGGCAACUAAACUGCAGUUUGUUAGAAGUGUCUCAAACUAUUGAAGAAAAACUCAUCAAAUUAUACUUUUUAUUGGGAUUAGUAAGUCACUCUUCAGAUAAGUUUGUGUAUACAAUUUUUAUAAAAAUCUCAAAGGACACUGGGGCACCUGGCUGACUCAGUCUGUAGAGCAUGUGACUCUUGAUCUCAGGGUUGUGAAUUUGAGCCCCAUGUUGGGUGUGGAGAUUACUUAAAAAUAAGAUCUUACAAAAAAAUUAUAGUUGCUUAAUUCUGUAGAAACAAACUCAUCCUUUAAUUUUUUAAAAAAUUAUUUUAAGUAAUCUCUAUACCCGAGGUGGGGCUUGAACUCAACCCUGAGAUCGAGUCACAUGCUCUACCGACUGAGCCAGCCCAGCACCCCUAUAAAUGUUUAACUCUAGUAAAUCUAAUGUGAUUAGUUUCUCAGGCCUUUUCAAUGGCUUUUAUAAAAGUCACAAAACUGGACUAAAUGAAGACCAACCACUUCAUCUAAAAUAAGAGAUGGGAACAUACCUGGAUAUUAAGAAGCCAAGAUUUUCUGUUGGGUAACAGCAUUUCUCAGAAAAGGAUUUUCCUUUUGACAGGGUUUUUAUGUGUUCUGUCUUCACAAGUCGGUCACAAUUACCCGGUGAAGAAGAAAACCAAUGGAGAGGUUAUGUACAUAAGCUUUUUAAGGCACUAAAGUGCAUGGAAAACGAAGAUGAAUAAUAUGCAACCCUAUCCCUUGAAGAAUCCAGUCUAAACAUGAGAUUAUGAGCCAAGAGAAAAAUGAUAGAAGAUAGACGAAUAACGAAGCUUGUGCCCAGGAAGCUCAGAGGGUACAGAACCUUGAUUUGCUCACUUCAGUGAAGAUCUGAUUUUGUCAAUGCAGGUAGGAGGGAUAGACUCGUGCCAUGAAAGCUCAAAGAGACUGCUGUCUACACCUCUUGUCAAUUUAUUGGUUUUUUGGGAGAUUAUACAUUUAUAUUGAAUGUAGUAUUCUUGUUUAUUCUUGUUUAAUGUUUGAGAUCAGUGCUCAUCAAUAAAAAUAUAAUACUAAUCACAAAUAUGAGCCACAGAAGUAAUUUUAAAUUUUCUCGUAUCCAUAUUAAAAAAGUAAAAAGA